AACUAGAUCAGCACCAUGGACAAUUCCUUGGCUUCGUGAUCAUGAAGUACUGCAGAUCUCGAGGCAGACUUUUCAAAGCAAUGUUCAAAAUCAGUCGAAUGUGCCAAGUUCUCUUUCCUCUGCUGGUGCCUGCCUGGUCAAGGAGGAUAUUUGGCUUAUAAGCCUAACUGGACCAGCAUACCUUUAAAACAGAGAGACACCCGAUCAUCCUUGUGUUUACAGGUUGUCUUCCUUAGCUUCGACCCUCUAUCACUUUUCCUGCUGGCCCUACAAUCAGAAGCCCACCAUAAAAUGCAUCCUCUCCUUUUGGUCCAUGAGAUCCUUGUUACACUAUUCCAGAACCCAGAACCCAUAGUGAGACUGUGGAAUUCCCUGCCACAACCUUUUCCUGCUGGCCCUACAAUCAGAAUCCCAUAGAAUGCAUCAUCUCCUUUUGUUCCGUGAGAUCCUUGUUAGACUACUCCAGAACCCAGAACCUAUAGUGAGACUGUGGAAUUCCCUGCCACAAGGUAUCGUGAUGGCCAUGUGAAUCUGAAUUGGUUUUAGAGAAGUUGAUGAAGGUUGCCACCUCCAGGAUCAAAAAUGUAUACAGCUGUACGUAUGUCCUGCUGGUCAGCUCCCUGGAGACAAUUGAUUGUGGACUGUGUGAAAGGAAUGUCGGAGGAGAUAAGCCUUUGGUCUGAGCCACCACGCUCCUUCUCAGGUUCUUGAUGUCUCCUUUGAUCCUCCUGCUUCUUGCCUUUUGAGUUUUCAAAGUCAAGUCCAUCCGCAUAAAAAGUCCAAGGAGAAUAUCUUUGUGCAUGGAAGAAUUGGUACCCUGCCUGGGAGCCCAGCUUCAUCUCUACCACGGCCACUUUGGAGAUGAAGUGCCAAAGGAAGCUAUUCAAAGAAGCAGGAUUUGUAUCCAAGAAACUUCAGGAUUUUUGUCAAUGGUAAAGCACCGCCUUUAUUCUUUUACCUUCCUGAUUCACAAGGGUCUUGGCUUCUCUUAAUGGAAUUAUCCGUCACUGCCUUGCCUUAAGUGGAUGGCAGAAGAGAUGUCCUCUUGGUGUACUCGGGGUGCGCUGCCCUCUAAACAACCCUGCUUCGCACGGCAUUGAUUCUCUCCGACACGGCCUAAAAUAAAAAACAAACUUUGGAUUUCA
rnacentral:lncRNA from 1 species